rnacentral:tRNA from 1 species
GGAUCGAUAGCUCAGUGGUAGAGGUAAGCUUAUCUGGACACAAUUUCCAGUUUCAACUUAGACACUAACAAAUCUGGUAGCGAGAGAUUGCAGAUCUCUAGGUCACGCGUUCGAUCCGCGUUCGGUCCU